rnacentral:rRNA from 1 species
GAUCAUGGCUCAGGAUGAACGCUAGCUACAGGCUUAACACAUGCAAGUCGAGGGGCAUCAGUUUGGUUUGCUUGCAAACCAAAGCUGGCGACCGGCGCACGGGUGAGUAACACGUAUCCAACCUGCCUCAUACUCGGGGAUAGCCUUUCGAAAGAAAGAUUAAUAUCCGAUAGCAUAUAUUUCCCGCAUGGGUUUUAUAUUAAGAAAUACGGUUAGUGAGAUGGGAGUGCGUUCCUACUUAAG